GGUCUCUGCUGCUCCAGGGUACUGAACUCAGCUCUCCCACCUCAGAGGCUCAGGCCUGACAGCAGGCCAGAGCACCAAGACCCUGUCAGCCACACGACAGGGUACAUGGGGAGUUUCUUGCCCUCUGGGAAGUCUGAGGUCUUCUGCCAGCGUUUAGUAGAUGUUCUGUAGUCGUUCCACAUGUAGAUGUAUUUGCGGUGUAUUUGUGUGGAGGAAGUUGAU